UUAAUGGCCAAACAUACUGCUUCAGUAUCUUCCGGUAGUGCAUGUUGAUAUGGCACUUGUGAAAACUGAAGAUUGGGUACGGAGUCGCAAAAACUGCAAUACUCUUGGUAAUGCAGAUUUGUUUUUGCAUCUCAACCUUUAUUCAAAAGAUAAAUGGAUGAUUCUAUUGGUGUGUG